rnacentral:rRNA from 1 species
GAUGAACGCUGGCGGCGUGCCUAAUACAUGCAAGUCGAGCGAACAGACGAGGAGCUUGCUCCUCUGACGUUAGCGGCGGACGGGUGAGUAACACGUGGAGAACCUACCUAUAAGACUGGGAUAACUUCGGGAAACCGGCGCUAAUACCGGAUAAUAUUUUGAACCGCAUGGUUCAAUAGUGAAAGACGGUUUUGCUGUCACUUAUAGAUGGAUCCGCGCCGCAUUAGCUAGUUGGUAAGGUAAAGGCUUACCAAGGCAACGAUGCGUAGCCGACCUGAGAGGGUGCUCGACCCCACUGGACCUGCGAAACGGACCAGACUCCUACGGGAGGCAGCAGUAGGAAAUCUUCCACAAUGGGCGAAGCCCUGACGGAGCAACGCCGCGUGAGUGAUAAGGAUCUUCGGUUCGUAAAACUCUGUUAUUAGUGAAGAACAAAUGUGUACCUAACUAUGCACGUCUUCACGGUACCUAAUCCGACAGCCACGGCUAACUACGUC